rnacentral:rRNA from 1 species
AGAGAUGAGGAGCUUGCUUUCUCAAGCGAGUGGCGAACGGGUGAGUAACGCGUGAGGAACCUGCCUCAAAGAGGGGGACAACAGUUGGAAAUGACUGCUAAUACCGCAUAAGACCACAGCACCGCAUGGUGCAGGGGUAAAAACUCCGGUGGUAUGAGAUGGACCCGCGUCUGAUUAGUUAGUUGGUGGGGUAACGGCCCACCAAGGCGACGAUCAGUAGCCGGACUGAGAGGUUGACCGGCCACAUUGGGACUGAGAUACGGCCCAGACUCC